UAAAUAAGUAAAAAUAAGUAAAUAUAAAUAAGUAAAAAUAUGAAAUUAACUGUAUUGUCAAACACAGAUAUUUUCAAGAAGAAAAAUAGUCUUUGAAUCAAUUAGUUUUAAUGUUUUAAAACACCAUUGUACCUAUGGGUGAAUUUCUAGUACUGUACUCGAGAGAACAAUUUUUAAAUCGUAUUUGUAGUGUAAAUGAGCACUGUGUUUGUUCUGUCUUUCGACUUCUCAGCAUGGACUUUUAAAUACUGCUGUUAACCAGAUGUUUUACACCAGUCUUUCCUGUAACGGAAUGAUUAUGGUCAUUUUAAUUUCUUUAGCUCUUAACAGUAUCCGUAAAUUACAGAAAAUUUACAAUACUGAACAAACAUUGAUUGUCAAGAAGACUGAUCACCAGUCACUGCUAACCAAAAAUAAAAAAACUGUGUUUCAGGUAUUUAGGACGUAGCUGUUAAUGGAACAUUUCGUAUAUGAGCACAGACUAAGGAAGGCACUGUAAUCUUGAAGGAAAUGG